GUACACACACAGCCUGUUAUACCUGCUGUCUCCUCACCUCCACCCUACCAGGUACACACACAGCCCAGAACACACAGCCUGUUAUACCUGCUGUCUCCUCCCCUCCACCCUACCAGGUACACACACAGCCCAGAACACACAGCCUGUUAUACCUGCUGUCUCCUCACCUCCACCCUACCAGGUACACACACAGCCCAGAACACACAGCCUGUUAUACCUGCUGUCUCCUCCCCUCCACCCUACCAGGUACACACACAGCCCAGAACACACAGCCUGUUAUACCUGCUGUCUCCUCACCUCCACCCUACCAGGUACACACACAGCCCAGAACACACAGCCUGUUAUACCUGCUGUCUCCUCCCCUCCACCCUACCAGGUACACACACAGCCUGUUAUACCUGCUGUCUCCUCCCCUCCACCCUACCAGGUACACACACAGACUGUUAUACCUGCUGUCUCCUCACCUCCACCCUACCAGGUACACACACAGCCCAGAACACACAGCCUGUUAUACCUGCUGUCUCCUCACCUCCACCCUACCAGGUACACACACAGCCUGUUAUACCUGCUGUCUCCUCACCUCCACCCUACCAGGUACACACACAGACUGUUAUACCUGUUGUCUCCUCCCCUCCACCCUACCAGGUACACACACAGCCCAGAACACACAGCC